CAUCAGCCUAUUUACCUACCAAUAAGAACAUUUUAUUAAUACAACUCAGCUUUAAUUUUUUACACGUCACUUUUCUUUUCCAUCAAUUAUUUCCGAAUAAAGGCAAAUAUCUUUGGCCCAUUCCGGUCAAAUUCCUAAAACCCAUUUUGACUCCAUCGCCGCCAAAUCCUUCCCAAUCAGCCAAGCUAGCUUCUUCGAUUAUCUCUUCUUAUUCCCAACCAUGGUUUUCGCAUUCAAGAUAAUUGAAAACCAAAAAAAUGUAUAAUCGCAAUCCAAAGGAGAUGAAAAAACAAGGCAUGGGGCCAAUUGAUACUAACUUGAGCUUUAGGAAGAUUAUGAAUGACGUUGAGAACUUUGGUAACCACUUUGGUAACCUCUCUUUUGAUGCGUAUAAUUGUCUCUCUUAUAUCAUAAGGAAAGACUCAGGAUCUUAAUCUUUGAAGGUACAUGACAUGAAAAAUAAGAAAGCAUUGGAGAAUAAUAAAUGAAUGCACUUGGUGGAAAGCCUCAACAGAAACAGAGGCUAUCAUUUAGUGUAGCGUGAGUAAACAUGAAGAAAGAGAAGAGAAGAUGUUUGAACUGAAUAUGAUUCUUGGCAAAUUUUGGAGGACAACUUGGUGGUGGAAGUACGAAGAAACCCGCAAAGGGGAUACAUAAUCUAGAGGAGAGAGUCGUUAAAUGAAUUGUAGGGAAUUUUUUGAGUGGUGUACUUGAUGCUAGGAAUUUGCUACAUUCUUGUUCUUGAAGAACUAAUGACAGAGAUAAGAAGAUCAAGAUCAAGAUCGGAGGAGAAAUUGGAGGAGGCAAAGAAAGUAAAAGACAAUAGAAAAGAGACAAAAAGAAUUAAGGAAAGAAGAAACAAGGCGGUAGGAGGAAAGGCAAGUAACCGCGGUAGAUGUGUUAACAAAUUUUUUGAAACCAGUCUUGUGAUCAAAGGAGCCUACUUCAAAAGAUGUUUGAAGCCAUGCAAGCAUCAUGACAUAGAACGAUUAAUCUUGGUAAUGGCAUUUAUGAAAAUGUCAAAAAUUUGGAAUGAUAUUUCCACAGUAGCCUCUCUUUAGGAUAAGUGCAGUUAUAGCUAUUGAAUUGGUUUUGAUUGUGAAAGAAAACAAAUCUUCUUAUCCCGGACGAUAUGAGUUUAUUUGGAGAGUGCCAUAAACGCGAUCGGUGAUAUCACCAUUUUCAGUCGCCGCGGGUGACUCUAGGUUUGAGUAGAAAUUAGAAAACUGAUUUACUUCAAUUAAUAGCCCUGUCAUAUAUGUUAAAAGUAACUUAGUUGUAAUCGUAAAACAAUGGUCAAUUAUGAUUAUAAUCGCAAUAUAAGACACUCAAGCGUUAGUCACGUAAUGUCUUUUAAACAUUUCAACCACUAACCACUUAACCGAAUUAGUUAAUAUAUACGUAUAUGUUUGUAUAGAGAUUAAAUUUUUAUGUAGUUUUACUAAUUAAAAACUGAUUUAGCUGAAAUAGAAAACAUUACAGCUUUUAUUAUUGUUUACAUCUUA